GAACUCAUCAACUGGAAGGAAUUCCUUCCGGUUGAUGAGGUUUAGCUUCCUCAUUGACCAAAGGAGAGUCCUUCCGGUCAAUGAGGAAGCUAUACCUCAUCAACCAGAAGGGAUUCCUUCCUGUUGAUGAGGUU
rnacentral:miRNA from 1 species